UACACACAGUCAAGGCAAUACAGUUGGUCCUUUGUAUCUACAGAUCCUGCAACUACAGACUCAAUCAUUCAUGGCUUGAAUUUUUUUAAUCCGAAAAGAAAACCCUGAUUUUGCAAUUUUAUAUAAGGGAUGUCUUUUUAUUACACCAUUCUAUAUAACAGAACUUGAGCAUCCCCAGACUUUGGUAUCCAUGGAGGGUCCUGGAACCAAACCCCAGUGGGUACCAAGAGCCCGAGAUAUCGUAUUUGCCUUGCAUUUAAAUGAAGCACUCCCCCCUUUGUUUUCUAACAUUUAAAAUAAAUAUUUAAUAGCCAUUUGCAAAUUCAAAAUCCUAUUUCAUGAGCAUUUUGAGACAGAUUAUGGAGGCACAGCAAGCAAAGAGGCAGCCCUUGUGUUAUCUAGUAGGAGUUCAGGUCAAUGCUUAAUGGGGGCAGCAAUCCCUUAAUCAAAAAGCAACAUGGGAUUGCUGUGAGCCGCCAGAGCUUGGCUUGAGAUUUCCCUGCAGGCCCCCCUGAGCACGUGCCUUUAGACAGGCUGGGCCUUCCCCUCCCCUCCCAUCUUCAGUGUAUGUCCCCAGCCUCCACGUUCUCCGCAACCCCUCCUGCAUGAGCCUGAGCUGAGAGGCUGUGUGGGUACUCAUUGCUGAUUAAAUUCUGCUGACUGAGGAAGAUGUCAAAAUCUACCCAAAGCAGAGAGCCGCCAAGGAAAAGCUGCUUUUCUUUGCUUUUGACAGCUGGAGCUAUGAAUUUAAGCAGAGGUCUCACCUUCAGAUCCCGCUACUUAAGCUGGAAUACACAACACUUGAGCUGGCGAAUGAGGAGAUGAUGCCCCUCCCCACCAGUUUCUCUUAACCGUGGUCUUUAGGAAUUGCUGCACAACAGGAUUUAUUUCCAAGUAAGUACAUAUACAGAAUUAUUUCAUUGCUGUCUCUCGGUGUAUUUUAUGUAUGGGAUUAAUAGGAAGAUACAGCAAAUAAAAGAAACCCUACUUAACAAGGGGAUCUUGAGGUUCUGCUUCAUUUCAGGAUAUACGUGACUAUGUAAACAACAGCAGGUGCUUUAUCUUAGGUAUAGGGAUUAAAUGAAGCUCCCCGGUUCAGU
rnacentral:lncRNA from 1 species